rnacentral:rRNA from 1 species
UACGAAGGGGGCUAGCGUUGCUCGGAAUCACUGGGCGUAAAGGGUGCGUAGGCGGGUUUUUAAGUCAGGGGUGAAAUCCUGGAGCUCAACUCCAGAACUGCCUUUGAUACUGAAGAUCUUGAGUCCGGGAGAGGUGAGUGGAACUGCGAGUGUAGAGGUGAAAUUCGUAGAUAUUCGCAAGAACACCAGUGGCGAAGGCGGCUCACUGGAUCGGUACUGACGCUGAGGUGCGAAAGCGUGGGGAGCAAACAGG